rnacentral:rRNA from 1 species
GACACAUAGGGUGCCGUAGCCGGGGUAAUGCGGGGGGGGCAAGGGGGGUCCGGAUGUGUUUGGCGUAAUGAGGUCGUAGGCGGCUGAGUAAGGCGGGUGGUAAGUCCCCAGGCGCAACCUGGGACACCACCCGAUACGGCUCUGGCGAGAGUCCGGUAGGGGAGCGGGGAAUUCCGGGUGUAGCGGUGAAAUGCGCAGAUAUCAGGAGGAACACCAGCGGCGAAGGCGGCGCUCUGGGCCGGAACUGACGCUGAGGAGCGAAAGCGUGGGUAGCAAACAGGAUUAGAUACCCUAGUAGUC